GGGAAUUAAGAUCAAAGAUGAAGAACUUGAAGAACUAAUGGCCCAGCUACCAUCUGAUGGUAACAGAACAGUGGAUCUGAAUGAUCUGAUGGAUGUCAUCAGUUACAUCAAGGGAGAAGUAAUUGACAUCCAAAACUUGGGCAAGUUUCUAGCAAAUGAGGGG